rnacentral:piRNA from 1 species
UCUCUGAAGACAGAGAAGAUGCAGGG